AGCGCCCGAAACUGCGGGGCUGGGGGCAGCGGGCGCCGCCGGGGGGCUGCAGGCGCGCACCGCCGCUCCGGCCUGGAAACCAGCCCUCCUCUCUUCCCCGGACCCCCGCGGAAGGCCGGGCCGCGGCGCGCGGGCUGCCCCCGUCACGCGGUGUGCAAAGUUCAAGAGGACACCGCGGGAUCCUGCCUAGAGGCGCAGACUCCUGGGUGUUUCCCGCUGCCCAGCGGAUCGAUAGGGACCGCUACGCUGGGGCCCAAGGUCGGCGUGGGCCAAAGCGCCGGGGCGGGCCGUGAAGACGACCUUGGUGUGUGGAGGGAGCGGGACCACUUGACCUCCAGAGGGAUAAGAGCUCCCCCCCACCCCCAGGAUUGACCUGGGUGGCCUGUGGCUCCGUGUAAACUGGAAAGUCAGAGAAGUGAAAUAAGUAUCCAAAUAAUUUAGGAGGACAGCUAUGCUUCACUUAUUAUUUCAACAGUUUUCUACUUGUUUUCAUCAGCAGAGGUAGGACCUUUGUGUUUAUUAGAUAGGCAAGAGCUUUCACAAACUGAGAGUUCCUGUGUACAGAGAAUUUCCUUUGACACAUCUUUUUAGAUCUACUAACUUUUUUUUUUUUUUUUCCAUUAAUCUCCAAGUCAGCCCAGGGCACAUUUUACAGCUUCUUUACUCUUUCUUAUUUUUUAACUACAGAAACUGCAUUUUAGACCCAUUUAUUUAUCUUGUCUCCAGAUAAGAGAGAUAUAGAAAGUGAGUGGCAAACUAAGAAUUACAUGAUUCAAUGAAUGUGGAGUAAAAUGACUAAGAUUUUGAAAUAGAGUGGGUUUUUUUUUUGUCCUACAAUGCCACUAUAAUUUAGGUUUUAUCAGAUAUCACUUGAAAAUAGACUCAAACAACUAAAGAUUCCUGUGUGCAUAUCAUGCUUCAGAUUUUGAGACAAUGAUCUUUACUUCAAAUCAUAUGAUUCCGGAGAAUUUGCCACAGAUCUAUAAAAAAAAAACUGCCAAAGGUAAUUAAAGGAACUGGGAUCUAUGUGUGACUUCCCUAAAUUCAGAGGACAUUUCCUCAUAUUUUAAAAUGAUCUUCCAAGAUUUAGCUCCACAAGGAAAGUGCAGAGAUUAUGAACACAAGCUUUGGAAUUGGACACACCUAGGUGUAACAUCUGGCUUUGCUACUUUUGUACUGUGGGCAAAAUAUUUUGCCUCUCUGAGCACUGGUUUCAUCAGUAAUGUGAAGAUGAUAAUAAUGUUUUUUCCUCCUCAGUAAAGCAGAGAUAAAUGAUAAUGCUUAUCUCAUGAAAUUGCUAUGAGGAUCAAAAGAACUUAGUAGAAUGCUGGGAACAUAAUAUCAAUUGACUAUCAUCGUCAUCAUCAUUAUGAGCUCUAAAACAGAUAGCAAUACCAAUAUUACAUAUAUUUCACUUGUAAUAGUAUUUAAAUGGCCACAUUUUAGAGGCUUAUUAAAAAUAGAAGUCCUAAAAGUAACAGGAAAAAAAAAACAUAAAAGAAAUACUAAGACAUAGUGACAUUCAGAAUUUUGGAAAAUUGGACUGACAGUAAUGUAAACUGUUGACCUAAACAUCAAAAAAAAAGCCCAACUACCUAACCAGGUAAUACAACAUUUUUUUUAGAUACUAUAUUUCAAUGAAAAGAGUGCUUGGUUUUCAUCCUCCACCAUUCACAAUGGAAAACUUUUCUCUAAAAUGGUGCCUGAUACGGAAGCAUCAUUGCUUUUUGUAUAUCUUAAUAAAGCCCUCUAUUAUUUGUAGUUUUUUUUUUUAUUGUAACCAUGGAAGAGGUGAGGUGCAUAGCAAUACAAGAACUAUCACUUCUGUUAGGGAGAAAAAUUGAUAAAUAGCAAUCACAGGACCUUAAUGACUUCUAUUCACAAAUUGACUGGUUAAGGAAGUAAGAGCCAAUAUUCAGCAUAUUUGUGUUUUAUAGCAGAUGCAAUGUCAAGUCUAGAGAGGUAAGAAUAAUGCUACCAACUACAUGGUUACAAAUGCAAAAAAUGGCUUUGAUUCAUAUUAUUUGCAUUGCUUUCAGAGCACCUGUUCCUUCAUUCUAUAGACUUGCCUGCUUAAGUGGUUCAGACAUCAUGAUUGUUGCUAUAGUUUCCAGCUGUGUUAAUCAGCUGAUACACCAAUCACAGCAUAUCACAACUUCAAAUAAAACAAAACCGUUUUUGUGGGGAAGAUAGUUUAAGACAUAAUCCUAACCUUCCAUAUUCUGUAAUUAAAAAGAAUUAAAUUUUCUGAGGAAAACAAUCUAAAUAAACACAACACAAGCCAAGAUAUAGUUAGAAAAACUCAGAUACUUAUGGGAACUGAAAUGGAGACCAAUUAAUACCUCCUUAGCACAGAGCAGAAUUAAUAUGUUUCUUUGAUCUGGAAAAUGGUUUAGUGCCUGCUCAUUUUUUUGUUGGGGGUACCAGUGGGAGGCCUAAAGCUCAUUUUUGGGCCAAAUUAGCCAAGUUCAGACUCAAAACUGAAACACCUGAAGCUGAGGUGUGUUUUAUAAUAAAAGGAAAACUCUAUUUUAAAGCAAACUACAUUAGAAUCAAAUAUAAGACUUGUCAGAUCACAAGACUUUCUCACUUUCUUUAUUAGACUCAUGAGAAAAACCAAGGGGAAGUGUUAGGAGAUCUGAACCUUAAACUGCUAGCAUCAGCUUUUUGAUAAGGAGUAGCUAGAAAUUACUUUAAAUUUCCCUAAGACCAUUACUUAUCUGAAGUAGCACUAUUAUAUAACACUUCCCUAUUAGGGAAAUCUCAUUGUUUUCCAGUCUAGUGAUUAUGAGUAUCAGGAGUAAAAUAUAAAUUGCUCCUUUUUUCUUUCUCUCAUUUUCUCUCUCUCUCUCUCUCUUUUUUUUCUGUAUCUCGUUUGGAUAAUACAUUACAUACAUAAACUACAUCUGUUAAUAGUUGACAAUACUUAUUUACGUAUGUCAUGUCAGCAGUUUCUAUGUUCAAAGAAUCAUGUUAAGCCUUUGAGCUCAAACCUGCUAGGUAGACUUUGAAGAUAACUAUUAUUUUAGUUGCUUAUCAGUGAGGAAUAAUAGCUUUUCUUAAACACUGUUCAUUUGGUGACUCAGUUAUUUACUGUCAAUUAUGUACAAUUAAUGAUUGAACCUAUUUCAAAUGCAAAGGCUUAAUAGCUCCGGGCUUGAAGAGGUGCAUUGCUGUUAUUUCCUCAAAUAAUUCUCUAAGGAAUCUGUGUCUGGCCCAACCAGAUGUUGUCAAAGGCUUAAGUAGACCUUAAGGGAUUAUAACUCUUUAUAUACCGGAAGACUCUUUAAAUUCCCCUGGGUUUUCUAGGGUAAACAACCCCAGUUCUUUUAACUUUUUCUCACACUUCUGUGUGUGUGUGUGUGUGUGUGUGUGUGUGUGUAUGACUCUCUUACAGAUUUUUUCCAAAUUCUCCACAUUCUUCUUUAGAUUUUCGAGGAGGUGCCUAGUAUGAAACAUGGAAUUCCAUAAAGGAUCUGGCAAAUGACAUCGGAAGUGGAGGGUGCGCAUGCUAGGGGUGCUCAAGACCAUCUACUACGGUUCAGAAAGAAAACAUUGCAGUGUCUAUUUAUUUUCUUUACAAGGUAAGGAAGAUACUAAUUCCGUCAUUCAACAGAAUGUUGACAUUGGCGUGUUCAUAUAAUCCUUUGUCAGUCACGUCUUGAGUGUGGUGUGUGAGGUGACCUGAGGAGGUUGCGUUUUCCACAGCUUGAAGGGGGUGCCUGGGUGCCCUCGUUCAUCCACAACCAGUUUAUUGCAGUUCUGGGUAGUAGAGGAGGUCACUGAUGUGGUUGAUUUUGUAAAAACAAAAUCUUUUCAAUAGAAUCUAUGGAAUACCUUUUACUGACAGGGAAGUGAUUUUGAAAACUUUGUCUUCUGGCAAAAUAUUCCCAAUACUGGUGGUUAAAAGCACAGACUCUGGGCACAUUGCCUAGAUUCUGACCAUAGUACUACUAUCACCAGCUGUGUAGUCCUGGGAAAGUUUAACAUCCCUGGGGGAUCAGUUUCCUCAUCUGUAAAAUGGAGAUAAUGAUAGUAUCUUCUCCACUGAGUUGUUCUGAGGAUGAAUGAGUUUAUACACACACACACACACACAUACACCCAUACAUAUAUGAAAAUCGCAAAAUAGGUAUUAUAUAAGCUCAAAUUGUUAUUACUUAAAAGAAUAUUUAACUAUCAAGAUUAUGCAUUUUUCUUCUGACAAAAAUAUAGUACAAGUGACCCAGAUUUCCCUACCUUUUCUGUUAUAAUGUAUGUGGGUAGUAUGCUACAUAGUGAAUAUUAAACACACACACAUACACACACACACACACACACACACACACACUGUCCUUAAGGUAAAGUUUUAGCAAUGAGUGAGAGAGUAAUUUCUUUCCCUCCAUUUCCUUUAAGUGUACAUUUCUUUUGAAAUGUAUCAGGUAAUAAAGCAUCAAGUGAAGGCAAAAGACUUUUUUACUUAAUAAAAUACCAUUCAGUUAUUUUAAAUAUUUUAUAUUUGUGAAACAUUUUAAAGGAUGGAAUGCAUAUUCCGAAAGCAUGAUGUUAAUUAUCUUCCACAUCCCUAUUCCUUGGUUGAUUGUCAUCUAAGAAUAUAAUGUCUUUUGUUCUCUUCCUUCAUUCAAUAAUUAUUUGUUGUGUACCUAUUGUGUGCCAGGUACUGUGCUAGGCUCAAACAGGCAGAAAUUUAAAAUAUAAUCACCACCCUCCAGCAGUACUAUCUAUCAUUUAUGAAACACAUAUUAAGGAACUAUUCCACAACCAAACUCUACAAAAUCACCUGUUUCUCAGCUCCUUUCCCUGACUCUACUCCCAGACCUUUAAAUAGGUAAUGAUCCGCUAUGGAUUGGGAUCUGAAUUUUGAGUCCGGUCACUUGAAUACCCAUUUAGUUUUGAUAUGGUUUAAAUGAACUGUUUAUGACUUAUUUUCUCUUCCAGGUAUCUUCAAGGUGCUUUUAUGCCAAUUAUGUGAAUAUAAAUAUUAAUAUCACUGAUUCGACAAACAUUUCCUCUGCAAAGCACUAUGUUAAGACAGAGAAAAGAUACAAGGUACAAAGAUGCUCUGUGCUUUCAAGGGGAUUUUAUCUUUGAUAUAAUAUGAGAAAAUGAGAAAAGCACCUUAAUUUUUUUCCUCAUGCCAUGUGGAUUGCUUCUACUAUUGAGUAUAUUUCUCAGUGCACUACAUUUCUAUCAUAUCACUUCUGCCUUGCACCAUGUUUCUUCUGGCUUGGUACCAUAUUAUUUGAAAGUUUUACAGACAUUUUAUUUGAUGUAACCACUUCUUUCAGAUUUCAUCUCAUUACUUCUAAUUUCAACCCAUGACUGGGAUAAAUUGUGUUUCAUUGCUACUUAUUUGCACUGAAAAACAAUCAUCUGAAAAACAGGUAGAGGAAAAUACUGCUGAAAACUAAGAUGAUAGAAAUAAAAAUUCUCUAUGCCUAAAAUGGAAUCCUCUACUUCUCCCUAAAUAGCAGUGAAAAAGUGAUGAUUUGAGGUAUUUAAGGCAAGAGACUGGACUGCAUGGGUCUUGUUUGCUUUUAAACCCUGCAAAUAAGUAAAAUAAAAAUUCACAGCCUUCAGAGGAACUUCUUAUACCUGUUUGGCUUUCUAAAGGUAAGUGGUACUAACAAUACAGAAACUUUGGGCAUAGAAUAAAUGUAGUAGUUACCAAAAUUCAAUUGAUAAUACAAAAUUCAAUUCAAAAAAAUAUAAGCAGCACAUUAAGGCAAUUUUGUUACUCAGAGAGACAAUAUGUUUAUUUGAAUCUUAAUGGAUCCAUGAGCUAUCCGUCCCACACACACACACAAAUCCAAUCUUUGCUACAAUAAUCCUCUUCUUGGAACAUAUAAAGAAAAAUACAAUUUGAACAAAUUUUAAUAUAGCCUAGUGACUAAGUACAUGGCUUUAAACAGCCGUGGGUUUCAAUCUCACUCUGCUGCUUACCUGCCCUGGACCCAGACAUGUUUUUUGACUUCCCUAGCCUCAGUCUUAUUUGUAAAAGUAGCUCUUACUUCAUAAGCUUGUUGUGAGGAUUAAGUGAGGUAAACACAUGGUAAGAACAUAAUUCAUGGUAAAAUUUAAAAUUAUAUAUAUAUUAUACAGUAGUCACCCUUAUCCGUAGUUUUGCUUUCCACAGUUUCAGUUA